AACGAACGCUGGCGGCAUGCCUAACACAUGCAAGUCGAACGAGACCUUCGGGUCUAGUGGCGCACGGGUGCGUAACGCGGGGGAACCUGCCCUUAGGUUCGGAAUAACUCCCCGAAAGGGGUGCUAAUACCGGAUAAUGUCUUCGGUCCAAAGAUUUAUCGCCUUUGGGUGGGCCGGGGUUGGAUUAGCUUGUUGGUAGGGUAAAAGCCUACCAAGGCGUCGCUCCAUAGCUGGUCUGAGAGGGUGAUCAGCCACACUGGGACUGAGACGCGGCCCGGACUCCUACGGGAAGCAGCAGUGUGGAAUAUUGGACGAUGGGCGGAAGCCUGAUCCAGCAAUGCCGCGUGAGUGAUGAAGGCCUUAUGGUUGUAAAGCUCGUUUACCCGGGAUGAUAAUGACGGUACCGGGAGAAUAAGCGCCGGCUAACUCCGUG
rnacentral:rRNA from 1 species